rnacentral:rRNA from 1 species
CGCGUAGGCGGUCCCGAAAGUCCGGGGUGGAAUGCCAUGGCUUAACCAUGGAAUUGCCUCGGAAACUUCAGGACUUGAGUCAGUGAGGGGAGGGCGGAAUUCCUGGUGUAGCAGUGAAAUGCGUAGAUAUCAGGAGGAAGGCCGGUGGCGAAGGCGGCCCUCUGGCGCUUGACUGACGCUGAGGCGCGAAAGCGUGGGGAGCAAACA